GAAUUUUGGACAAUGGGCGAAAGCCUGAUCCAGCAAUGCCGCGUGCAUGAUGAAGGCCUUCUGGUUGUAAACUGCUUUUGUACGGAACGAAAAGCUUUGGGUUAAUACCCUUGCGUCUUGACGGUUCCGUAAGAAUAAGACCCGGCUCACCACGUGUCAGCAGCCGCGGUCAUACUCUGGGUGCAAGCGUUAACCGGAAUUACUGGGCGUAAAGCGUGCGCAGGCGGUGUUGUAAGACAGAGGUGAAAUCCCCGGGCUCAACCUGGGAACGGCCUUUGAGACUGCAAGGCUAGAGUACGGCAGAGGGGGGUGGAAUUCCGCGUGUAGCAGUGAAAUGCGUAGAUAUGCGGAGGAACACCGAUGGCGAAGGCAACCCCCUGGGCCUGUACUGACGCUCAUGCACGAAAGCGUGGGGAGCAAACA
rnacentral:rRNA from 1 species